UACAGAGGUCUCAAGCGUUGUUCGGAUUCAUUGGGCGUAAAGGGUGCGUAGGUGGCGCCGUAAGUCAGGUGUGAAAUUUCGGAGCUUAACUCCGAAACUGCAUUUGAUACUGCGGUGCUUGAGGACUGGAGAGGAGACUGGAAUUUACGGUGUAGCAGUGAAAUGCGUAGAGAUCGUAAGGAAGACCAGUGGCGAAGGCGGGUCUCUGGACAGCUUC
rnacentral:rRNA from 1 species